rnacentral:lncRNA from 1 species
GGUUUGCCUUUUGUGGCUUCGAUGUGCAAACUCCCAUCACUGAAAGAUCACAGAUGAGAACCACUCAAUCAUUGGUCACGCCAUUGCAGAGAAGCUUCCUCUGUGUCUUGGUGUUUUCUACGAAAGAUUCGAACUUUGCAGAGGGUUUUAAACUUGCGAUUUUGGUUUUUGUUUCUAGGUUCUUUGAUUUUCUUGCAGGUUUCAAAAUCCAUGAAGGAGGGGAAUGGACGAAUCUGGUUCGCAUGAUGGCUUUCUGUGUCGCAACGACAUUGUGCUUCGCUGGGUUUGCGUUAAUGUUGGCAUGAUGAAGGUGGUUGUUGCGUUAAUUGGAGAUCACGAUUAGGGUUCGCUUAGUCUCGCAAUUGGGUUUUCUGGGUUAUUUCUAGGUUGCGCAAUGGUGGAAUGAAUUGGAUGAUGAUAGAGGUUGGGUUCGACUCACGGUGGUGAGGUAAUGGUCGGCGAGGAUGGUUGCGCGAGUGUGGUGGAGAAUGGCGUUUUCGCAGUGGCUGCUGGGUUUCUGCUAGAUGAAGGUGUGAGACGAUGAUUCUACGACAGCGACUUGGGUGUUGAUAUGCGUUGGAGAGGACAACUGCCGACGAGGAUGACGGUGACGG